CAGCAGGUUUCCAAUAGCCUCGCUCCUGUAUUCUUACUGUCUGUCCAUCAUGUAGCUGUGAUAAUACCUUAGCUGACCUGUCAUAAUAACCCUUUUGACGAUGUUGUUUUUGCAACCUUUUUGCUUUGACGUCUUUGAGGCAGACAACUUUUGGCAAAAGCUGUUGGUUGGUGUUUGGUAGUACUGAUCUUAGGCAGUGACUCAUCAGCAGCUGUGAUGGAGAUUUGAAAUCAUCGACUGGACUGUUGCAAAACUCGAGGAGACUGAGGCCAGGUCAUGAUGUCACAGGCUCUCAGUUUACAUUUCUCCAUCCCGAGCUGACUGGAAUGUCUGCGUGAAAGCAUGUCUGCAUUAAGUCUGAUCAGUGUUUCCAUGGGAACGUUGUUCUCUGCACCUCACUAUGCUUCUAUCGAAGAUUCCUACAAAUCUGCUCCUGUUUUCCACAUCGGCCACUCCUCUAUGAACACUUCACGGACCUGCCGAUUGUGCGGCCACAGCGCACAUCCCCAAAACUGCUUCCCUUAACCGCAUCCGGUGCCAGGAUCUCCGGUCUUCACCAGCACAGUUAAAGUGAUCAAUUAUUGUUAAUAAAUCCUUUGAACUGUUCCUCUGCUCUUGGGCCUCUUUGUCUCGCUCUUGCUCUCUGACAGAUUCACUCCGAGGUCAAACUGCAGUGAGUUUU